UUAGUUUGACCUAAAUGUGUUCAUCUGUGCUGAGAGUCGCUCCAGAUAAUUUUUGGGCGUUCUGGGGUUAUUUUUGCGAGGAUUAUACAUAUGUAAAUGCUAUACAAUGUUUUAUAUGUUCUAAAUGCAGAGAGAAUAGCUAUAUAAAUUGUAGUAUUUGAUUUCUUUUGUAGAUGCCCAUGCAUUUGGCUAUAUGAUGUUGGGUUGUGAAUUUAGUUUAAGACUGAGUCAUAUUUCUUUGUUUUCUUAUGAGGAAUCCGUAUGAUGUUCGGUUGUUUGACUCUGCGCUACAACAUGUUCAUUUUCUGUUUAUGUGUUGUGUCCAUGCCUACUGCACUUUAUUGUUGCUCUUAUGAUCUUGUUAUUCCUUUUCUUGCUACUUGUCUGGUAGACAGAAACAACAACAAUGGAAAAUCCAGCAGCAGAAGAUUACAUGUUGAGCAUCUUGUUCAGUACCUUGUGCAUCAUUAUCUAAAAAUUUCUCCACGCCUUCUUCAGUUCCAAGAAUGGUCAAAAUCAUGGUUAUGUUCUUCAUCUUCUUCAGCAACCUAACAGGGUAACCUCUCAAGUGACUAAUUUCAUUUUUAUUGAUUACUUAUCUGUUUGUGUACUAUAUUUAUUUGCCACAGACAUUGUUUGCCUUAUUUUUGUCUUACCUCAUCCAGAUGCAUGUCAUCAAACAUAGUUGAGCCCCAUGGAUUAUCAUCAGCUUCUUCAUCUUCUUCAUCUUCUUCCUGCAUCUCAAAUAUGCCUUCUUCCAAGUGAGUAUAUGUUCGUCGUUGCAGAUGGUCCUUCAUCAUCCAUUAACUAAGUUCCCUGAAUAAGUUUGUAAUGUGAGCAUGUCGUAGUCAUAUGCAUUAUGAAUAUGAUUAGUAUCUUUAAUUGUGUUAAUGAAAUAGCUUACAUGAGAUAUAUAUUGAUGUUUUUGAGCCUCAACAUGAAUCUUCCUGCUUUGUUGCUUGCUUGUAGUUCAUUUUGGAUUCUUUCAGUAGCUGGAACCCAUGUAUUGUCAUCGUUGGCUGAUGACGAUAAACUCCGGACAUCUCCCUAGAGUAUAUUUUGUUAUUUUACAUCUUCUAUUUUUGUAUAUGCAAAAUUAAAUGUAGAUUUGUUCAUUAUUUUUGAGAGCUUAGUUCUACUUACCUGAUAUUUGCAAUUUCUGAUUUGCAGCGUAUAUCCAGGUCGCCCCUUAGCAACGCCAUAGUUCAGAUGCUCGUCUGGAUGCUUGAUCACUCGCUCGCUUGUGUGUAAGGUUGUAGCAGCUCAUCUCCGUCCGUGCAUGAAUCAGAUCAACUUUGGACCUAAGGAUGUAGCUACCCAUAUCCCAUCCGGCAUGGAUCAGGUGCCAACAUCAGUAGCUAAGUAGCUGCGAAUAUCGUCUAGGUAGAUCUCUCUAUGUCAUUAUACAUUGCUCAUUUGUUUAGCUAUUCAUUUUGGCCUACGCAAUGUCUUUUUGAUCCUGCCUUUUGUAGUAUUUCAUUAUCUCAAUCACUUACUAUGUAUUUUUUUUUUCACAUAUGUAUUCCUAGAUGUCGAGAUCCAAUCCGACCUACUAACCUAGUUGCUCAUCUUUGGCCAGCUUUAGUCCAGGCACAUUCCCAUCCGAUGCUACUUCCACCUGAUUAUGCUCUCUCAUUUUACGUCUAUGUUAUGUCGCAUUGUCUCUGUUCUGACACUCAUCUCCGUAUGCCAACCUAAUGUCUUUUGAUUGUGGGUUUAAUAGUAUUUCAUUAACUAAAUCACUAACUAUGUAUUCUUUUUCACCCCUGUAUUCCUAGAUGUCGAGAUCCAAUCUGACAUACUGACCUAGUUGCUCAUCUUCGGCGGCUGGUUUUUCUAUCAGUUGCUUUUCAGCAGCCAAUGCACUCCUCGUCAAGUUGUUAAGAAGAUCGGGACCAUACCUUAGGGUGUAUAGCAUCUCCAAGUGGAAGUAGGGUUUCUUGCAGAAAUUCCUUUCCUUUCUUCGUGUACGGUGGUUGUUCUUCUCUUCCGUCCAUUGUUUUGGGGUAGGAUCCUGUCGAUCUGGAUCCUGAGAGGAGCAGCGAAUGGCUGGAGGAGUGGUUGGAGCACGUGAGGUGUUUGCUUGCUCAAGAAGGCUGGAGAGCUGUUUUGGGCCUUGUAGGGUCAUGCACGCGCUGAGCUUUCAUGUAACGUUAGUUUUCUGUUUGGUCUAUAGGUUUGUAACAUUAAGCUGGUUGCAUUUUUCGUGGGCUGUUUUGCUGGCAUCGGACUCAAAAACUCAUGUAAAUCAAAAUCUGUCUGUUUAUGUUAAUGAAACAGACACAUUUUUCAUUAAA